rnacentral:lncRNA from 1 species
AUGACUGCAAUCUCUGCUGAAAGAGAGUAUAUUAGGGAUGGUAAGGUAACAAAAAUGGUUGUGAUAGAGCUUACUGAUUCAAGGUAUAAUGGUGAUAAAUUCGAAAUUACAGUUUUCUGUUAUAGAUUUCGUUCAUUCAUUGUUAUAGAUUUCAUUCAUUGUUUAUGAGAUGUGAUGUUUGUGAAUUGUUAUUUUACUAGUGGGAAGUGCGAAUGUGCUCUAUGUGGUGACUAUGUAGAUGAUUUAAGUAAGAAAGUUGGCAAAACUGCUUCAGGCAUUCCUGUUGUUGUCAUACAAUUCGCUAAAGUCAAGAUUUUCAGAGGUGCUGUGAUUUUUGUAAAGCUUUUUAUCUUUGAUAUUGUGGUAGAUGCAUUUGCUAAUGUGCGCACUUUUGAUUUGGCGGUUAAUGUUUAAUUCCAAUUGUUGUUUUAAUAGGAUUGCUCUUUAUGGUAUGGACCUUGAUGACAGAUAUCGGUUAGAGCUAAUUUAAUUUAGAUUAGUAGUUUUGUCUUUCUAGCUGAUAUAUGUUAUCAAACAAACAUCAAUAGUGGAAACCAAGGUUUUCAACAACAUAAUUCAAAGUAAAUAAAACAAAGAGGUUAAUUAGUUUUUGAAAUUUGAAUUUUCUUUAAUUAAUUAUAAUUUUCUUAUUUCAAAAAUCAAAAUCGUUGUAACCGAUUCUUUUGUGCACACAUAACUGAUUUUAUUUUAUAGGUGAUUCUUUUGGCAUGGUAAGUGUCACUUUGUUGGUAUUUCUGCACUCUUUUGUUUAUCCAUAUUUUGAAUCAGUUUCCUGGAGUGAGGUGCAUGCCUCUAAGGAAUUUAUGGUUUAUGUGAGGCAUACCUUCAACACUUUAUUGAAAAUUAUAGAUGUUGAUUUUAAUUUUAUUGUACUCAUGAUUUGUGGCAAUACUUAAGAGCUUAUGAAAUUGCAUGUUUGAAAUCUCCAUGAAAUUGAGCUAAGUUAUGAGAGGUUGCAGAUAAGUUCAGCCGGUGUAUACUAAGAUCUCCAUGAAAAUUACUUACCAUUUUUAUUUUACCGCAACGCAGAGCACAAAACGAAGGGAUAAUGACGACUCUGCAAUAGAAUCUGACAUCAAAGGUACCCCCUUCUGUUCAAAAAUAUUGAACUCAAUAGCUAGAGUACUACUCUUUUGACUAACCAUUAUUCACUUUUAGAAUUUUCACCUUAAGUCAUACUAUUAAUAAUUAUAAUUCAUAAAUUUUCGUCUCUGAUUUAUAAAUGGUGGGUCUGACUAUAAUUGUUGUGAAGGAAAUUUCCUAAUUUUUAAGAUUUCAUUGUUGUCAUGUGCAUCAUAAAGUAUUGAGAUUAUUCAUUUGUGUGGUUUUGUCUACAUUUUAGUGACUAAGGAAAAAUGAAUUAGGAUUUAUAUAAAAGUGCUUACAUAUCAUUACCAGACUUUCACUCAUUCUAUUCUUAGCUGUGCAUUUGACAGCAUGUUGAAGCCAUUUGUGACAAUUUUUGCAUAACUAAUACAUGUGCAAUGCAGAUGGGAUAAAUGCAAUUGUAUCAUGAAAGCAUGCUCACAAAAAUGUGUUAACCAAUAGUGUGCAACUAUUUGGUGGCCAUACUUUUCUUGCUUUCCCAGAAAAGUUACAAGCCUCCUAAAAGACCCUUGACAAACAAGGUUUGUUGGUCUUUUACUCUUUUACAUUUUUGGUUUGUUAUAUACACAUAUGUAUUCAAUUUUUUAGUUAUU